rnacentral:rRNA from 1 species
UACGAAGGGGGCUAGCGUUGCUCGGAAUUACUGGGCGUAAAGCGCACGUAGGCGGCUUUCUAAGUCAGGGGUGAAAUCCUGGAGCUCAACUCCAGAACUGCCUUUGAUACUGAGGAGCUCGAGUCCGGGAGAGGUGAGUGGAACUGCGAGUGUAGAGGUGAAAUUCGUAGAUAUUCGCAAGAACACCAGUGGCGAAGGCGGCUCGACUGUCCGGUACGUCGGACGCUCAUGCACGAAAGCGUGGGGAGCAACGG